GUGAAGAACGCAGCGAAAUGCGAUAAGUAAUGUGAAUUGCAGAAUUCAGUGAAUCAUCGAAUCUUUGAACGCACAUUGCGCCCCCUGGUAUUCCGGGGGGCAUGCCUGUCCGAGCGUCAUUACAACCCUCAAGCUCAGCUUGGUGUUGGGCCCCGCCGCCCCGGCGGGCCCUAAAGUCAGUGGCGGUGCCGUCCGGCUCCGAGCGUAGUAAUUCUUCUCGCUCUGGAGGUCCGGUCGUGUGCUCGCCAGCAACCCCCAAUUUUUUUCAGGUUGACCUCGGAUCAGGUAGGGAUACCCGCUGAACUUAAGCAUAUCAAUAAGCGGAGGA
rnacentral:misc_RNA from 1 species